UGGGGAAUCUUCCGCAAUGGACGAAAGUCUGACGGAGCAACGCCGCGUGUAUGAUGAAGGUCUUCGGAUUGUAAAGUACUGUCAUUGGGGAAGAACGGUUUUCUUGAGAAUAUUGAGAAGACAUGACGGUACCCAAGGAGGAAGCCCCGGCUAACUACGUGCCAGCAGCCGCGGUAAUACGUAGGGGGCAAGCGUUGUCCGGAAUUAUUGGGCGUAAAGGGCGCGUAGGCGGGCCUUUAAGUCCGGUGUGAAAGAUCAGGGCUCAACCCUGAGAGUGCAUCGGAAACUGGAGGCCUUGAGGACAGGAGAGGAAAGUGGAAUUCCACGUGUAGCGGUGAAAUGCGUAGAUAUGUGGAGGAACACCAGUGGCGAAAGGCGACUUUCUGGACUGUAACUGACGCUGAGGCGCGAAAAGCGUGGGGAGCAAACAGGAUUAGAUACCCUGGUAGUCCACGCCGUAAAACGAUGAGUGCUAGGUGUAGAGGGUAUCGACCCCUUCUGUGCCGCAGUUAACACAAUAAGCACUCCGCCUGGGGAGUACGGCCGCAAGGUUGAAACUCAAAAGGAAUUGACGGGGUCAUAGCUG
rnacentral:rRNA from 1 species